rnacentral:rRNA from 1 species
GAUGAACGCUGGCGGCGUGCCUAAUACAUGCAAGUCGAGCGAACAGACGAGGAGCUUGCUCCUUUGACGUUAGCGGCGGACGGGUGAGUAACACAUGGGUAACCUACCUAUAAGACUGGGAUAACUUCGGGAAACCGGAGCUAAUACCGGAUAAUAUUUCGAACCGCAUGGUUCGAUAGUGAAAGAUGGCUCUGCUAUCACUUAUAGAUGGACCUGCGCCGUAUUAGCUAGUUGGUAAGGUAACGGCUUACCAAGGCAACGAUACGUAGCCGACCUGAGAGGGUGAUCGGCCACACGGGAACUGAGACACGGUCCAGACUCCUACGGGAGGCAGCAGUAGGGAAUCUUCCGCAAUGGGCGAAAGCCUGACGGAGCAACGCCGCGUGAGUGAUGAAGGUCUUCGGAUCGUAAAACUCUGUUAUUAGGGAAGAACAAACGUGUAAGUAACUGUGCACGUCUUGACGGUACCUAAUCAGAAAGCCACGGCUAACUACGUGCCAGCCGCCGCCGUAA